CCUACGGGUGGCAGCAGUAGGGAAUAUUGCUCAAUGGGGGAAACCCUGAAGCAGCAACGCCGCGUGGAGGAUGAAGGUUUUAGGAUUGUAAACUCCUUUUGUUAGAGAAGAUAAUGACGGUAUCUAACGAAUAAGCACCGGCUAACUCCGUGCCAGCAGCCGCGGUAAUACGGAGGGUGCAAGCGUUACACGGAGUCACUGGGCGUAAAGAGGGCGUAGGCGGGAUAGCAAGUCAGAUGUGAAAUCCUAUGGCUUAACCAUAGAACUGCAUUUGAAACUGUUAUUCUAGAGUAUGGGAGAGGUAGGUGGAAUUCGUGGUGUAGGGGUAAAAUCCGUAGAUAUCAAGAGGAAUACUCAUUGCGAAGGCGACCUGCUAGAACAUAACUGACGCUGAUGCGCGAAAGCGUGGGGAGCAAACAGGAUUAGAUACCCCUGUAGUC
rnacentral:rRNA from 1 species